GCGCCCUCCGCAGUCUCUUCAAAUUGUCAUCCCACCCUGACAGCUGCACUGCAUCAGUGGUGACAGGUCCAGGAACGCAGGCAGUGAAAAGAAGAGAUUGGACCUGGAAAAGAAACUUUAUGAACAUAAUCAAUCUGACAUAUGCAGCAGGUAGUGAUCUCAGCUGGUCUUGAACCGCAAACUGGCUCCUGGCUGCAGCUCCAGCCUCAGUUCAGAUCUUCUGUUGUUAGCGAGUGGCUUGCGCAUGCGUGGUUCAGUCCGUCAGAAAGGUGAGGGCAGAGUCUGAAGUUUCCCCUGCACAUUUCUUCCC